UACGGGGGGGGCAAGCGUUGUCCGGAAUUACUGGGCGUAAAGGGCUCGUAGGCGGCCAACUAAGUCAGACGUGAAAUCCCUCGGCUUAACCGGGGAACUGCGUCUGAUACUGGAUGGCUUGAGUUUGGGAGAGGGAUGCGGAAUUCCAGGUGUAGCGGUGAAAUGCGUAGAUAUCCGGAGGAACACCGGUGGCGAAGGCGGCUUCCUGGACCGACACUGACGCUGAGGCGCGAAAGCUAGGGGAGCAAACGGG
rnacentral:rRNA from 1 species